rnacentral:lncRNA from 1 species
AGAGCAUCGUAACGGCAGGCAGGGUGCAGCUCGAAGUCGAAGACUCGGAAGGAAAGGGACACAGUCUGGCCCUCAGGGACCUGACGACGAGGACAGGGGAGAGGACCUGCAAAGUCAGGCCACACACAACCCAGGCAAAGGAUACUUCCCUUUCCCCAAGCGUUUCAUACGGACACUGGGCCUGAACAGGAAGGGACGCCAUCAGGGAGCAGAGCAGAGGGCCUGGGCUCUGCAGGAGCUCAUUGCCCAGGGGACAAGCCCUGGGGUCUGUGGAGAGAUUCAAGGACCAGAAAUAAAACUGGGAGUAGAAGAGCAGGCCUGGAGUUAAGGUGUGAGGACACUUUGCCACAUGUUACUGUGGGCACUGCUGCCAUCAGUGAAGAGGGGAGGGGGCCUGGACUUCCCUGGGCGCAGUGGUGCAGGGAGGAGGGCGGCAGGGGCUGGGUGGACCCGGGUUCUCUUAGCAGUCAGGCCUCAGAGACUUCAACAAGGGGGUAGCGAAGAGAGGGUCUUUCUCACCGUUAUUGUCCAGAUGCAUUCCUUAUUAGGGGGGUAGAGGUUGGGGAAACCCUCACUUGCCACGUAACCAGACUCCCCAGUCACAUCCCCUCCGCACAGGAACACAGGUCUGGAGAACAGAAGAGGGGGCAGCCAUGAGUGGAGGAGAGCUUGGGAAGGAUAGGGUAAUGAGGGUGAGGGGCCAGAGAGGGAAGCCAGGGGGAUGAGGGAGAAAGGGGGUCUGGGGCAGCUUCAGCCAGCCAGGCUGGGAUUGAGAGGAUCAGGAACAUGUGGCUGUCUCUGCAACACCCCCCAAUCCCCACCCCCACCCCAACAGGAAUUCCCGGAAUCCUCCUCGGGCUGUUCCUCACUCUCCCCCCUCGCGCCCUGCCUGGCAGUCGGGGACAGGAGCCGCCUAACUACUUCCAGAUGUGGACACAGCCACGAGGCCAUGGGGGGGGAGGGGGCGGGGAGAUGAGAAGCAGCAGUGAUGGCCCUCAUAUUGAACCUGGAGACCAGGGUCCCCCAGCUCCCAACCUUUGCCCUGCUCCUGUUCCUGCUAACUACUUGAGUAUCUGAUUCCCAAGUCUCCCACUCGCUUCCCCCACCAUCUCUAAUUCCCUCCUGGAAUCCAGAUGUCCAGAUACCAGGCAAGUUGAAGGUCUUGGAGCUCUCAGGUUCCAUGGUGGGGGGCAAGGGUCUGGGAGGAUGGGGAAACUUAGAGGGCAGGGGACAAAGGGUGGAGGAAUGGUGGCUAGUGGUGCCCCGCUGGAGACAGUGGUCUUGGAGCAGGGAGGGAGAACUUGGGGCCUGGGGGAGGGUGGGGGCUGCGGGAAAUCUGGGGGGGUGGUGUGUUAGUGAAAGGAUUCACAGGAUCCACAGGCAAAACCCCCAAGAAUCAGGGCUUUUGAAGCUCACUCAAGCUAUCUGGAAGGUGCCAAGAGACCUACCUGGUGUAGUUGGGGGUCUGGCCCUGGGCGAAAGGCAGCAGGGCCCAGGCAGUGAGGAGGGGCCCCAAGAGGGAGGCAGUGGCAGCAGGCAUCAUGGCCGGGGGGAGAGGCGCUGGGGUCCUCGAGACCGAGGCAGCAGCUGAGUUUAGCAGCGGCAGCAGCAGCAGCAGGGAUAAUCAGUGCCAGAUGAGGCAGCCUCGGGUGUGUGGGCGUGGGGACUGGCCAGCGGGGCGGGCGGUGGGGAAGGCGGGACAGGGAGAGUGCAGUUGGGACAGUGGUGAGUCCAGGGGCCUCUCUAGGUCUAGGACACAUAAAUAUUGACCUAAGUAGGGGGUGGAGCAACGAAGGGCAGAGGGAGCAUCAACCCUCAGCUGUAAUGCAGGCAUCAAGUAAUGUCAUCUGGAAGCCUGCUGUGUCCAGUACCCAAGCAUCCUGUGAACACAGCCUCUGGUCCUUCCUCAUGAUCCUCCCCAUGCCUGCCUCCUCAGCACCCGUAGAAAGUCCUUCCCUAGACCCCCAACAACUAGUCACUCACCCCCUUCCUGACCACCCCCCUGCUCCAGCUGAUUUUCCGCUUCAAAUUUCUACUGUCUUCUUUGCAUCCCUGGACCAGACUAGGCCAAGGAGAAAAUUCUUUCUGCCCGCCCAUUUUCCCUCCCAAAUAUUUGGAGAUCCGGGAGUGGGUUAGAUGUGGAUAAAGGGAGCAUCCCUCUUAGUGGGGAGGAGGAUGGAGGAGAAAGUGAGGGAAGGAAGGUUAAACAGAGGAGGGGAGGAGGGGGCUGACUUCACAGGGACCGAGGUCAGAAGCAGGUGGCCCCCUCAGGAUGGGAGUAAGUCUGACAGACAGAGGAUCCAUAAGGGGACCGAGUAGCAUAUGUUGACUGCAUUGUUCCAGAAGGUGGGGCUUGAACUUCAAGUCAAGAAGCCUGGGCCACUCUUGGGAGUGGGAGGGGAAAGAGAGCUCUAAGAUUCAGGUGGUCAGUUCAGCAGCACCUGAAUGCUUGAGCCACUUCUGCUCUCUCUGCCUCCUCGUCCAUCCCCCUGCCUUCCAUCGCCCUCCUGAUUGGGGGGCAUUGGGGCCCCCAUCCCCUGCCUUAUUUUCCUCCCAGGCCCCAGGGUUCCAAACAGGGCCUCACUUCAGCCUUUUAUUCUAUUUGCCCAUCAAAUCUCUUGUCCAUGAUAGUCAGGUUGGGGGUCCCUCCCGGGCAGCCCCCUGAACAUUUUACAAAACGGUUCCCUGCCCACCCUGGCAAGCCUAGCAAUUCCCACCCCUCCCCAUGUGCACAUACAAUGUUUAUUGCUACCAUCCCACUCUCCUUAGCUCCUGGCCCAGGGCCAGACUCUCCCUCCAGGGGUAAGACUAGGAAAGGGGCUCAGCUCUCAGGGGUUGAGGGGCCCGGGCCAACCCCUCCAGCAGCCCUCUGCAGCAUGUCCAGGGCCUCCCAGAAGAAAUCUUUCUGUGCAGCCAUCAAGGGCAUCCAACCCACGAUCUCCUUCAUCUUUUCCAUGCGAUCCUGCAACGUGGAGCAACUGUGGAUCUGGCUGAGGUACUCCUCACAGGCCCGGGCUGCCCCCCCAGGGUCCUGGGGUGCUCCAGCUCCCAGGCCAGGCUCGGGGGUCCCCACCACCCUGCUGGCUGGUAGGUCCCGGUAGGUGGGAUGGUGUUCGAUGUCAUGGCUGGACAGCAUGUAGAGGCACUCUCUGGUAGAGCAGAGGGAACAGGCACACAGAGGGACCUUAAAGGAGAGAAGGGGCGUGGCUGAGAGGGGCCUUUACUGAGGGGCUCCCAGGAAGCCCCAGCUGUUGUGUUCCUCCCUCUCAGACCAGCCCUGGGCCAGCAAGUGAGCUAGGGCUGGCUAAGCCCCAAGGUUGUGUAAGGUCAGAGAGGGCGAGCGGGGUCUGCUAAGGGAGAGAGCCAGGAGCCAUGGUGUGUGGCCGGAAAAGGGAGGUGGGUAGUGCUGGGGGGGGGGGGGGGGGCCCCCGGGNCCCCCGGGUCCUUGCAGGAGCCCCAGCUACAGUCCUGUGUGCCACCUGGCUCUAUUGCCCUUGCCCCGUUGCCUGCUGGCGUGUCCUGGCUCUGACCUUGACGUGGAGCUUCACGAAAGAGGCACUCCCCUUAGGCCAGCCAGGGAGGCGGCCUCCAGCCCCACAGCCGCAGCCCAGAAGCUCCUUGCUGAAGUCCGAGCCCUGGCUCAGCACCAGAGAGUGGUUGAGGCCACACCACAGGGCAAUGGGACGUUGCAGAUAAUGCACCUGAGAACACAGGGCCAGGAUCCCUAAGGUGGGAAUGCUGAGGAUUUGAGGGCCCAGGUAGGAGGAGGGCAACAGAAAGGCUCAGGGAAGACUCUAGAAAACUAGGAGAGGGAAGCAAGGGGACUCAGCACCCCCUCAACCCCCACCCAGCCGGAAGGCAGACCAGCAGCAAUCUUUCCCUCCCUAGUUCUCCUGCAGCCCCUGUCGGACUGCAUGGGGUCUAGCACUUCUGUUGGUUCCUCAUCUUUGCUCCUCAGAAAACAGGCUACUUGCCUGCGCCCAGGGCCUGCUACCUGCUCCUUCCUACUACCCCAGACCUGUGCCAGUCCAGGCUCAUCCUGCCUUCCAGCCUCAGGAGGGGGACUAAGUUUCCUCUUCCCAAAGUUUAAAGACUCCCUCCCUCCCUGUACAAUUCCAGGUUAGCCUUCAGGAGGGACCUUCCUUCCACUUAUUCCUCCCUUCUCUCUCUAGCAUUUUCCACUUGUCCUAUCCUUGUCUCCCAAAAUGGCCACUCUGUUUUAAAAAAAAAAAAACAAAAGAAAACAAAAACAAAAACAUUUCCACCUGAUUCCUGCCCCUUCCUACCUCCAUCUUUUAGGCAACAGAACUGGUUAUGUGACCAGUCUGAGGCUGACCACAUUUUUGUUCUCACCACAGCCCAUCUUUCCUGAACUUCUUGUGAUCUGGCUUCCCUGCUUACUAAGCUACUGAUGUGUUCUCCCCAAAUGCACUUGACUUUACAGCUCCCAAACCCCAGGGCCUCUCCUGCAUGCUUUCUCCUGAGAUUAUGAGGGUUUUAAUUUUGAAGACAUAGGUAUGUAAUUUAUGGUCAUUAAAGAAAUGUUAUAAAAUCUUGGAGAGCAAAGAUUAAUUUAAAAAUCACUGGAAAUCCUACCACCCACUAUUAACAUCUUGCUGGGGGUGCCUGAGUGGCUCAGUCAGUUAGGUGUCCUACUUUAACUCAGGUCAUGAUCCUGAGUUCGAGCCCCACAUCGGGCACCCUGCUGUCAGCACAUCAGCAUGGAGCCCCUUCAGAUCCUCUGUCCCCCUUUCUCUCUGCCCCUCCCCUGCUUGUGCACCUUCUCUCUCUCUGAAAAAAUAAACUUAAAAAAAUCUUGCUAGAUAUUCUUUUUUCUUUCUUCUUUUUAUUUUGUAUUUAAGUAGAUUCCUGUGGAGUCUGCUUGGGAUUCUCUCCCUCUCUCUCUGCUCUUCCCCCCCCCAACAUAAAUUAACAUUAAAAAUAAAAAAGAGAGUCAGCUGCUUAACCAUGUGAGCCAAGCAGGCAUCCCUGGAUAUUCUUCUUCACUGCUGCCUCUGUGUGUGUGUGUGUGUGUGUGUGUGUGUGUGUGUGUGUGUGUGUUUUCAAAUUACAGACUUUUAAAUAAAAAUGGGGUUGUACUAUGUAAAUAAUUUUAUAAUUUUUUUUUUCAGCUAAAGAUAUGACCUGACCAUAUUUCCAUGUUGGCAGGUAUAUUCCUAUGUUAUCUGUUACCAUUAAUCACCUCCUCUGUUUGACACUCCCUGUGUCCCUGGCUUCUGGGACUUGGCACCUGAAGGUGUGCCUCCUGCCUCAGAGAUAGCUUCUUCAUUCCCUUUGCCUACAGCAUCAGCUCCUGCCCAGGUUUGUGCCUCUGUCCCUGCUUCUGUCUGUUUCAGCCUUGUUCCAACAUGGAAUCUAAUGCCAGAGAGACAUUUCCACUUUAGAAAAUGUCCAAAUUCACGCUCUUCCUCUUUCCUCAAGCCAGCAUCCCUUUCCACAUUUGUUAGUGAUGCCGUCUCUCUUUAAGGGGUCUACUGCGACAGCCACUUGUGUCCCACACCCAUCUCCUCACAUCUAAUCAGUUUCCAGUACCUAAUCAUUUUCUUUCAAAACAUCUCAGGUAUCCAUUCCUUUCCAUUCCCACUGCCCCAGGCUCUUGUCCCAAGUGCCACUGUCACUCAAUGGUCUCCCAGUGGGCUUCUCAUUCAGUGGCCUCCUGUGCACUCUGGCCAGGUGACCUGUUCUCAGUCAUCUGUGUGUGUGUGUGGCGGGGGGGCCUUCUCUUGCUCCAGAACCUGGAGUGACUUUCCAAAAUCUAUACCUUUUCAGGCUCACCCCUGCCUGUAUCACCUCAUAUCUACGGAUUUCCAAAACAUCCUCUCUGCUUCAGACCAGUCCUUUCAUGGUCCCAGGUAUGUGCAGCUUCGUUCUCAUCCCUGUUACAUGGAAUGCCUUUCCCUGUACCCACACGAAUGUGAUCUAACCCACCAGACCGUGAUCACAUCUCACCUCUUCUAGUUAUACCAGCCCACCGAGGUCUCCCUGCUUCACUAAAUUCCUAUUGCACUGGCAGCAAGCACCACACAGAAUGGACCUCACAGUGCCAACCCUGGGAAAGACACACAACAGUAUCACGCGCAUAAUAUACUGGCUGGCUUAACUUCCCUAGGGAGUAAGAAGUGGGUUCUAAAGAAAGUAGAGAAGAGGAGAGGUCUAAGGUGUAGAGGAUUGGAGGAAGGGGGCCACGAUGAGAAUAACUGAAAACGAAUCUCACCUGUGUGGGUUCCCCUCGGUCCAUUUUGUCCCCUGUUCCCAGCUGCCCAUAUCUGUUAUUUCCCUGCAUAAAGAUUCGGCCAAAUUCAUCCACCAAGCCAAGGUGGUUGUAGCCAAGAGCACAAAAUAGUAUCUAGGAAGUAAGACAGAAAGAGAAGGCAGGCAUUCAGUUCCCUCCAGAGGAACUCUGAGCUCCAAAAUCUCCCAGCCACUAACCUGCCAUUCCCAGCUGAUUUCUUUUGGCCUUGCCCACUACCUCGCCCCUCUCUCUCUGGGCCCCUGUCCCUCCCUGAUCAAUCAUUUGAUUCCUGCUCAUAUUUCAGACCUCUGGUGCCUUUUAAUCCCUAUAUCCCCCUCUGUCCGCCCCUUGGUCCGUCCCAUCCCUCCAGGAUCCUACCUUGGCAGGCAGUGAGAGAGCAAGCGGCAUCUGCUGGUCCAGGGGGUCAAAGGCUUGAAGGGUCCCAAAGAGAUCACGAUACACCCCUGGGGUAUGCACCUCAAAAUAUACUCCCCCCUGGUCUGGGGGGUCAGGAGCCCUCAGCUCAGCAGCUUUGGGCACCCAUUUCCUAGCGAUAAGGCCCUACCUAGGAUGAAAGCUACAAGAUCCAGGGAGUCUCACACCCACUAGAAAUGUACUAUGAUAUCUGGGAACCUAACCUCAUCUUUUCACUAGGAUGCCUGAAGGGGUCCACUGCUAGAGUAAGUAUAAGGGGCUGUCCAUAUCUGGAAAGUCUGUUUAAGACGAGGGUGUGGAGAAGAAGGAAGGUGGUUCUUACCUGUGAUGUAGAGAGUACUGCUCUGGUUAGAAGCCAUGCGGGUCACACGAAGGUGAGGCAGGCAACGGGACACCUUCCUCAGGGCCAGCUGAACUGUGUAGGAGCGUGGCUGGUCCAGCUGGGUUUCAUUCACUACCAAAGAGUAGAUCUUUCCUUCCUCUGGGAGAUGGGGAGAGGCAGACAAUGAUGUGGGGGAGGGGACCUCCCAAUAUCCACAUUAACUUCCCAAUAGACUCUCUAAGCCAUAGCGAUUAAACAUUUAUUGGCCUAGGGUGGGGUUGGAAGAAAAAGGGUAGAGGUGAAAUACAGGAAGCGUGACCUCAAGUUGCCCAGACUCUAGCCCUGUACCACCAAAAAUGAAUCAGGGAAACCCUUCAGUGUGAAUGAUGAGUGGAGAGAAAACCAGCAGUUAGAUCUGCCAGAAUCCAAUUUGAGUGUUGGGAGGAACGAUGCCUGGGGACUUGGGGCUCUGCCUGGAAUUAAGAAGUCCAGAGGGUCUGAGGCUUGGGAGUAGGGUCAAAUAUAGGGGACAGGGACACCAGUCUGCUUCAGUCAGAACAGCGCAUGACUCUUGAUCUCAGGGUUGUGAGUUUGAGCACCACACUGGGUGGAGAGAUUACUUAAGUAAAUAAAAAUUAAAAUUAAAAAAGUGUAUACAUGUAUGUGACAAUCAGCAAGGUGGGGGUAAGUUUGGGGUAUUAAGUGAAGUGCCUAGCAGGAAGUGAGGAAGAUUAGAAUUUCGAAAAUCAGGCUUUCACUAGAACAGUGGUUUCCAAACUAUUUUUUUGCAGCAGGGCCCUUUAUUCAUAUGAAAUACACAGAAUCUGGGGCGCCUGGGUGAUGCAGCUGGUCAACCAUCCCACUUUUGAUCUCAGCUCAGGUCAUGAUCUCACAGUUUUUGAGUUCAAGUCCUGCAUCAGGCUCUGCCCUGAUGGUGCUGAGCCUGCUUGGGAUUCUCUCUCUCCUUCUCUCUCUGCCCCUCCCCUGCUUGUGCACAGGUGAUAAACUUAAAAAAAAAUUUUUUUAAGUUGUUUAAAAAAAAAAAAAAGCAGAAUCUUAGUCUAUGAGACAGACAAAAAGCAAAGCUAUUUGGUUUGAGACCAGGAUGAGGUGGCAUGCAGAAAGGCCUUCCCCUCCCCUGCAGCAGGUCCUGAACCAUGUGUAGAAAACAAUUUGCAAACCACUGCUCUAGGCCACACCUGUGAGAAGCAGUAGAGCCCGCUGGUUCUCCUGACCAACCAGCACAAUCUGUUUGAAGCUCAUGGAGUGGUGGAAGGUCAUCUUGAAGACCCGCUGCCCACUGGACUGCAGAUAGACCUCGACACAGUCACAGGCCCGGCUGCCCGUUGUGCCUACCACUGCUGGCUGCUCCCGGGUGGCCAAUACAUAGAGGUAUUUACGGUAAACGGUGUCACAUCUUGGGUCCGAGGCAAACUAUAGGAAAAGAUGAAGCUGUCUGGGAUCUAGGUCUUAGAGUGGAAUGAGGCUUGGGGGUGACAGGAUCCUGGGGUGAGAAAUGAGAUACUUGGGUUCAGGGCUGGGAAAAGAGGGUUUAGUUUUCAGUUCCUGAUAUGGGAGGGCAGACGUCCUGAGGAGAGUACCUCCGGACUGGUGUGGGUCCCGGAGGAGCCCCGGAGGAGGGGUGGGGUCUCAGCUCCUAGGGCUCUGCUACUCACAUCCUUGGCUCCGCGACACAAUACAACAUAGCGGCAGGCUCGCUUCCACUGGAUCUGGCCAAGGGUAGAGGAGACCAGGGCAUUUUUGAGGAAGAAGAGGGUCCCCGUGUAGUCAAGAAUGAAGACAUGGUCCUUGGUGGGCAAGAAGCGGCGGUAGCCAUGGGCUAGCAGGGGGGCUACACUCUUGCUGAGACAGCGGCGGCGGCCUCCAAAUGCCUGGAAAUACAGGCCCUUCGUGUCUGGAGAAGGGAAGGAGAUGGAAGGCUCAAGGGGUCAGGAUGGCACAGAGAAGAGUUGUCAGAGCUUGGGCAAACUAUAGUUCUCAGAGAGCCGGGUACUUAGCAGCUCCCAUAGCAGCUCCCUUAGCAGCAGGACUGGGGAACAGGGACUUUUCUAAAUGACAUAUGGAAAGCUUAGAAGAUAUCUUUAAUAAUCCCCUACACAGGCUAUCUUUAAUAAUCCCUUAUGCCUGAACUUUAGUUCUCUGCCCCCUACCCCAAGCCCAGGGCACUACACAUGCUUCUAAGUGAGGGCUUCUUUAGUCCAACCUUGCAUCAGAGACAUCAAGGGAAAUAUAGUACAUAGAAAAGCAGCAGACAGAGGAGCGAAAAGGAAUGGCUGAGAAAGGCCAGUAACGGCCCUCACCCCUAGCUCUGGAUCUGCUAUCUGGAUCAGAUCUGGAUCUCCCUGAAUCUCCAGUGUGUGCAGCCAGGUACUUGGAUAGGGGCUCCCUGGGAAUGGAGGGCUUCAGAGCAUGUUUCUCAACGUGGGGGUGAUUUUGUCCUCAGGGAACAUUGGUUGUCAUAACUGGGGGGAGCUUUGUUACUGGCAUCUAGUGGGUGGAGGCCAGGGAUGCUGCUAAACGUCCUGCAAUGUGCAGGACAGCCCCUCACUCCAAAUAAUUAUUUGGCCCCAAAUGUCAACAGUGGCAGGUUGAGAAAUCCUGGUUUAGAGGAGGGAAAACUCCAGGUUUGGGGAGUGGAGGAGAUGACCGGGGUAGGAUUUGGAAGAGAGUUCGAAUACGGAGGCUGACUUGGCAGGGAUGCUAGUAACGGGGGCUCCGGGUGGGACGUCUAUCAGAGGGUGGAGCUGGAGGCUUGCAGAGCUCCUAGAUGGAUGGCGUGUUUGAAUCUAACAGGCUCUUCUAGAGAAAGGGGCCCUGGCAGGUUGGCUAGGAAUGCUGAGGCAACUCUAUGGAACAGGAGGGAUCCCAGAAUAAUAAGGCACAGGAUAGAGGCAAAGAGAACUGAGGUUCUGGGGAGGUGUACAGUUAAGAAUGGCAGCUCUCUUCCAGGGCCGGACCCCAGAGCCCUGCUCUCGUAGACGAGGACUAAGCCUGCGACAGAUGCGUCUCCACACGCCCUCAGCGUCGCACACUUCAUGGAAGUAGUGGCAGGUCUGGCCCAGAGCGACUACAUCUCUGACUGGGAGGAAUGAGAUGAUAUGCUCCACCUGGGGGGUGGGCAGGAGGGAGGAAGCAGGAAUCAUCAAGGGGGCUCCUCAUCACGCUGGUCCCCUGCCCUUUAUUCUGGAAUCCCUCCCCAUGGAUGACUCACCAGCUCUGGGGGGAACAGCUGAACAGAAAUAGGGUUCCCUCUGCCCUUCUUCUCUUCACCCCCAGGCUCUGGGCCACAUGAAGGGCAGCUCCGCUUCACCUACCCAAGAAGGGAGAGCACAGGGAUUCCAUGAGAGUCAGGCCUCCUUUUCUCCCUUCUGUCAGCCUUUCAUUAGCUUCUUUCUUAGGGGCUCAUGGCUCUGUGCCCUCAAAUCUUCCUAUCUUUCUCUCUAGGUCCAUGGGACACCCCUCCCUGUCUGCCGUGUUUCUGGAUUCACCAGCUCCAAAGAACCCCUCCCCUGAUCUCUUGCUGCCAUCUUCUUGUCCUUCUCUUGCCUCACCCUCCCACCCCCUCACCCUGAGGCCCUCCUCCUGUCUGCACAGCCCGGUGAAUUUUUGCAGCCUUCUUCUCCGGCUUCUCCUCACCAUCUUGACUGCCCCGUCCCUGCUCCUGCCCUCAUCCUCCGGGCCCCCCGACCCCCCCGUAGUCAGCUCCCUGGCCCCCGUUCCUGCUGCCUUUCCCACACCAUGUCCCCCGCCUGGGCUUGGGGGACCUCUGGGGCCCCUCAGCCUUCUAGGCCCCUCCCCCAUGGAGUCUGGGAAGACAAACCUCUCUGUGACCUCACUGUCCAGUCACUGUGACCUAUUUUCCCCAACCCUGCCAGGAUUUUCUUAGACAGUUCCUGGGUUCUAGCUUGGCUCUAGCCACCCAGUGGCUCAUGGGAUAUGCAUGAGCCCCUCCUCCAGGAGAAAGAAAGUGUGAAUGACUGCU